AGAGUUUGAUCCUGGCUCAGAACGAACGCUGGCGGCGCGUUUUAAGCAUGCAAGUCGAGCGGUAGAGUACCUUCGGGUGCUUGAGAGCGGCGAACGGGUGAGUAACACGUAGGUGAUCUACCUUGGGGUUGGGGAUAGCCCAUGGAAACAUGGGGUAAUACCGAAUACGGUGCGGUGUCUGUGGACGCCACAGCAAAGGCGCUUUGGCGCGCCCCUGGGAUGAGCCUGCGGACAAUUAGUUAGUUGGGUGAGGUAACGGCUCACCAAGGCAACGAUGUGUAGCCGGCCUGAGAGGGUNAUCGGCCACACUGGAANUGAGACACGNCCCAGACUCAUACGGGAGGCAGC
rnacentral:rRNA from 1 species